CAUAAUAUUUGUGUCACUUUUCAACAUAUUCAUUUUGUGUUAAAUUAACGCAAGAAUUUGAGUAGACGUUUGAGACACGUGAAAUGUGUUCAAGUUAACACAACAUAUUUUACAUAUGCAGCAUGCUUGCAGUACAUUCAUAAUGAGCAGGUUCAUGUGUAUUGCAAAUCGCUUUAUGGUCACGUUGUCCAUCGGCCGGUCGUGAUGUCACGAUCGACAGCGAGGAAUAUCGCUUAAAACAGCGGGACGAGAUAAAGCACGAGGAAGCGACGUAAAACACUGUUGUAAAUAGGAUUGGAUCAAAUACUGGCGGCACUGUGUUUACGCGAGCGGAAAGUACACAGUUGCUUCCUGCCGAUGGAAACAAUCGUCGAGGUACGUCUCUGGGGAAAAUUGAAGUUUACUGCAACUGGUCGUUCGGAAAUCAAAGAUUCGAGGUCAAGGGAAAAGGUUACGUCCUGUACGCCCUAUUGGUCGAAGAAGUCAUGCUCAUCGUGAUUUGUUACUAUACAAUCCGGUCUGCCCGGGACAUUCACAAUGAGCAGGCGCAUCGUAUAGGCAAAUCAUUGUAAAAACCUUGUCCUUCAUCGCCCACCGUGACGUCACGAUCAACAGCGGAUAUCGUAUCUGUGAAAUCCUAUACGAGUUAAUUCGCGGAAGCGACGUUAAACAUUGCCGCAGUAUUGAAUUUAAAUACGAGGUAAAGGAAUCGAGUUCUUUCUUCUUAAUCUUUUGGAAUCUCAGAAUUAUAUAUUGAAGCGAGUAAUUUCGUGUUAUCGUAGAAAAUUGUAAUUAUUGGUUAAAAUCAUAUAAUUAUUCAAUUAUUAAUUCAAUCAUAAAUUUUAAUAAUUAUUUCAAUUGAAUUAUAAUUCUCAAAUCUUUAAUAGGACUCUUUUGUUUGCAUCGUGACAGGUGGAAAUUUAUUGUUGCGAAAUAUACGAAUUUUCGAAUUAAUUAUGUUAUAACAAAAUUUGACGAUACAUUCUCUACCACAUCGGCGUUAGACUCUAACUUGCUCGUUUUAUUAACAUUUUUGUGUUUUCUUUUUCAUUGUAUAUCACUAGAAUGUGAAUCUUUGUGUAUGUUUUAUCACAGUUAAGAUGUAAUGUUUACUAAUAAACACAUUUAGUCAUCUACAAGAUAAAAUGGAACAGAGUCGAAGUUUCUCUCUAUCUUAGGACAAAGAAUCCUAUCUGAAUGCAUCUUCCGAGAUAUUCGGAAACACAAAGCAGAGUGUCCCAGUUAUUGUUACAAAAUGAUCACAAGGAGAAUAUUUUCGAAGGACGUUCUACCGAGCGUUGUUGAGAAACAAAAGCUGAGAAAAGAGAAAGCACGCUAGUCUCGACUAAACCCAUUCGACCAUCAAGUCAGUGCGGAUGCUGUGUUGACGAUGGGAAAAUCUAUUGGGGGAAGACUUCUUUUCUCGUUUACGUAAUAAACGAUAACAAGAACAACAGGAACGUUGGACUUUCCUCGAGAUCGGUCGAUCGAUUGAUUCGUGAUCGCCAGGCGUCGAUUGCGAAGCGCUUUCUCGAGUAAUCGUCGAUCGUAGAUCGCGAAAGGAAGCCGGAUAACGUUUCUCGCUGGAGACUUCUCGCCGCCGGAUUUUAAGAAGUCGAUUUUUCAUCGCGCACACAUCGCCCCGCCGCGUCGCUCUCUCUCGAGCCCUCUCUAGACAAUGACGCAGCUCGCACACACGAAUACACACGCUGAUUGUCGCGGUUGCCACGUGAUGAUUACUCUGACCCGAUAUGUUCUGCGAUUAGAGCUACGGCGCAAUAACGAUAUUCGCUCACACGAGAAUUGGAUACGAACCAAUUCUCGCCUGCUGCGCAGAAUACGGGUUGGUUCCCGAUGGUGCGUAUCUUCUGCUGCAGCGCUUCCGCGCCAGAUGGGCGCGUUUUUCUGCUCAAGAUUGCGCAAGAAUGCGAGGUCCGUCUGGCUCUCUUCGGCGGAAAUAUUCGCGCCCCUAAGUGCGCACGUCUUCAUCGUCGGCGGCUCGAUGGACUUCGCGCUGUGAGGAACGUUACACGACGCCGUUUUACCCUGUGACCGAUUUAAAUUGAGCUCUCGCGUAAACCUGACGGGCGCGCGCGCGGAUAUACCAACGACAAAUUGCAAUUUUUUGUACUUGAAUUAUCGUACAUCGGUCUUGUUGCGUAUUUACACAGUGACGACACACCUGUGGUAGAUAAUCCGGCUGAUAAUCUUCGAUACGGUCGAACGAAGGUAAUUAGACGGUGAUCGAUUUACAGGGGGAACAAAUUUGGUCGUACGAGGCGUUUGGACGACAAGAUCCGUAAUUGUCGAAAUUGUGACAUUGCACAAUGAAAAAUCCGUUUAGUUGACUCAAAUGAAAUCUGUUUAGGAUAUGCUCUAACUAAUGUUUGAGUUGUGAGAACCAAAAUUUAGUUCUCUGAGACCAAGCGAUUUUUUUCAUUUUCGCUUCUGAAAACCGAACCUUUGGUCCGGGAAACCCAAUUUUGGCCUAACAAUCGUACUUAUUAAUCGAAACAUUUAGUUUCUUUGGAACAUGCUAAUGAUGAAAUUUGUUUGGAUGUAAUAAAAUUCAUUAAAUUUGAAGAAAUCUUUUUCUCAACGUGCAAAGGCGAAUCGCGUCGCUAUUAAGCGUGAACGUGUCACCGGAGUUGAUCGGCCGAUGCAGAACAGUAUAAGCGCGCGUUUUCCACGAGCGACGGGAACGUCGUGAAGCCGAUCGAAAGGGUGAAGUUCUCUGUACCGCGUUUCAUUAAAAUAAUAAUCGUGACUCACGAUCGGUCCAGUCACGGAGUGACGUAAAUCGACGCUGACAUGUUUACCGUUCGGCCGCAGAUACACGCACACACGCGCGUGUAUCUGGGACACUAAUAAUUAAUGAUAUUCCGUGCGCCCCACGCAGGAUCGAGUUCGCGUUCCGUGCUCUUCGUUCUCAUCCGAUAGUUCCGACUGAAAAUACUCCGUGACGUGUGCGUCGACGUAACGCAUCGCCGCGGCGAGUAUUACUGCGCCGCCGACGUUUCGUCUGAGCUUUCAAUGUCGCGCAUUGGCGGAAACGCAUUCGAUCGCGAUUUCCCGUAGCGUUCUCUCUUUUCCAAGCGCGAACUCGACAAGCGAUUUGCUCAGAUAGCGCAAAAUAUUCGAUGAAUAUUCUUAUGAAAUACGAAUAUUCUUAAUUACAGAAUAUUCGAAUCGGAUAUUCUGCGAAUAUACGUGGAAUAUAUUAUAAGCAGAAAUUCAUAUGGUCGUAAUAGAAAAGAACGUUCUUAGAACAUCCGUAAACUUUAUUUACUGCGCAAUGCAUUGAUCUGAUUAAAAAAAGAAGAAAAAAGACAAUCCUGAAUACAGUUGAUUACGGGACGGUUGCAACAGUUUUUUUCCUACGUAUUUCACGCAAAAAAUACGACGAAGCGAACCUCUGAUUCACGAAUAUGUGCAAUAGACGGUUAGACAGCUGUCAAAAUUAGGUUUGUACAUAUCAAAAUUACAUGUGUAAUUUUUACAGCUGUCCGACUAUGUAUUGCGCAUGUUCGUGAAUCAUAGGUUCGCUUCGUCGUAUUUUUUGUGUUCCGAAACGUGUUAAAAAAAAACCUGCAACCAUCCUGUGACUGUUAAUUUAAAACUGAGAUCUGCGUGUGCAAAUAUUUUCGUGCAUCUUUUACUCCCAUGACACAUAUACUUGCCUAAAAAUAUUAUCGAAUGAAAAACGGGAAAAGUAGUUUGAUUCGAUUAAGUGUUUACAUCGUGGGCAGCCGUAUAAACAUAAGCAUUUACUUCAAUUAUAUUCGUAUAACAACAUUUUUUCCGGUAGGGAAUAUAUAAUUAAAUAUGAUUAUAUACAUGGGCAUAUAGAGACAACAUUCACAUAUAAUUAAUUUUUCCCAGAUAAGAACAUAUUAUGAACCCGUAGCAGUGUUUUCAAUUCAUAUUCUGUACAAAUGUUCGUAGCAAAUAUUCAUAGAACAUUUAUAGAAUAUUCCUAUGCUAUUUUCACGGUGUUCACGAAUCUAUUCUACUUUCAGGCUCUUUGUCUCGUCUUAUCGACUGCAGAAGCAGGAAGGAGAGUGCGUUUAUAACGAGGAGCCCGGUCAUAGGAAACUGAAUGUCGGACCCUCCCGCGGUAUUCGACGCCGACAAUCGAGCGUUCCCCGUUAGUUUAUACGAUGCGAUUGCAAUUGUACGUUGCUCACGUGGGCGCGCGAAUAACAGCACGCGCUGAUGUGUGUGUGUGUGAGCAACUCGGCAGGAAUGCGAGGUAAAAAGUUCGCUUCUUGAAUAUUAUGUGGCUCAAGGAAAGAGCUGAAUGAAUUAGCGCGGGUGUUUAGCGACCCAACACGCGCCGUUGCAUUGUAAAAUCGCAGCGCAAUUUUGUCGCGCCGCCGAGCGGAAAACACAUACACACGAGCGCGGCUUUAUCGGCCUGCUGUUAUGCGCGCCGCAUUAUUCGUGUGCCGUUAACCCGUGAACGAGCGAGCGAUUUUGUUUCGAGAUCCUCACAUCUGUCCGAUGUUAUUGUUCGACGAACCGGUGGUCUGUUUUCUUUUCAGCUGAACCGGCUGCACUAGUUCAAGAAAUUUACAUACAUAUUGAAAUGUACACACGUGAGAUUCUCACGCUUUAGUAUGCGUACAUUUCUCGACCAGCGCGGCCAGUUCAAGGAAUUUUUUAUAUGUACACUAAUUUUCAUAAAAACAAACUGUAUUUUAAUGAUUGACUGAAAUUAACGACAGAAAGUUGACGCUCAUUUGCGAAGAGCGUGCCCGGGAAAAAAUGACUAUAUAUGAAUUUUGACUACAUAUAUGUCUAUAUAUAAUCAUGUAUCAUUAU